AAUCUAAUGCAGGAGGUAUUGUUCAGUAGAUGUCUUUCCGAGCCCUUACAUAUCACUUGUUACCUUGUGUUCUCUUCAAGGGUAAUCUGAAUACAUAAAAUGGAUUCUAACUUUCUGUGGCUGAAUAGCACGAAAACAACUAGAUGAAUUUCCAUCAGAUCCAAGGUUUUCAGAUCUAGAGAGAUACGAUCAUCUCCAAUUCAACUCCUGAUUCAUCUCUGCAUGGCCCACAGCGUGCAGCAGCAUCAUGUAAAAGUUCAAAAUCUGGAUGAACAUCUGAAUAAAAGGGCAGCUGUUUUGUAAGCUUUGGGCCAAUGAAUCCAUGCUUAGCAAUAGCACAAGAGAAAAACAAAGGAGCCUGGGUUCCCA